GGGUAGGUGGCCGAGUGGUUAAAGGCGACAGACUGUAAAUCUGUUCCGCAUCGCGGUACGCUGGUUCGAAUCCAGCCCUGCCCACCA
rnacentral:tRNA from 1 species